CCUCCCGGGAGAGCCAUGGUGGUCUGCGGAACCGGUGAGUACACCGGAAUUGCCGGGAAGACUGGGUCCUUUCUUGGAUAAACCCACUCUAUGCCCGGCCAUUUGGGCGUGCCCCCGCAAGACUGCUAGCCGAGUAGSGUUGGGUUGCGAAAGGCCUUGKGGKACUGCCUGAUAGGGUGCUUGGGAGUGCC
rnacentral:other from 12 species